rnacentral:lncRNA from 1 species
CCUUCCUUUGCUUCUUACAAACCAACUUAUCUUUCUCUAUCCUUGUCAUAUUCUCAUUUGAACCUUUUUUUAAUUUUCAUAUUAGAAGGGUACUGAAAACUAUUACUGGUAACUUUUCCACUGUUGUAUGUCUUUUAGAUUGCCUAUUUUUGAUUCUUUUCACAUGUCUAAUGUCCUUGUGCUUUAACAAGUGCUUGCAGGGAGUGGGUAGAACCAUGAAGUAAGUGCAAGUAGAUGUUCUCAGGUCUUAGAUGCAAAUUUGGUUGUUAAUUAACCGACAUGCUGAUUCUGCAUGCCAGAACAGUCAUAAAUACUUAAGGUCACUGCUCUAUUUCUGUUUUACUCCUCAGAUGCAGAUAUUGCAAACAAAUAUUGGGAGUUCUACAGUUCAAUGGUGAGCUACUGAAUGUGCUGUCAGUGUAACUACAGAGAUAUUUAUGGACUGCUGACUGCAGGAGAAGGACAGUGACAACAUUACCAUAGGAGUUGUUUUGAUGUGCAACUGGAGAUCUGAGACUGAAAUUACUACUUCAGUUAUGAACAUCUUGGUUAUGUGCAAAUGGCUAAGAGGCUUUUCCUGCCUGCUUCUUUUCAAAUGGCGAGAGUCCAAAAGAAACAAAAUGAGAGCCUGCCACUAUGACUCCACCAAGUCAGCAAAGGCAAAUUUUCUGAAGAAAAAUUAACUAUCAGGAAGACUUUAAAAAUAUAUAUAUUGCUUGAGAAACAUCAAAUACUUAAGGUCAGAGUGAGAUGUAAUUUACACUAGCAUCAAUUUGGAUCACCUCCAUUGAUUUCACAGCAGUUGAUUUCGGUAGAAAUACACUGGAUUUACAAGUAUGCAAGUAAGACCACCACUUAGAGCACAGGACACUGUGAAGUGAUAUGCAGCUAGAUGCAGUCAGAGCCAAACUCUGCCCCGGGUUACAUCCUUUGAAGUCACUAAGUGUUUUCUUUGUCUCCCUAAUGCUUUGCAAUAUUUCUUGUCUCCAAUAAAAUACUUUUCUUUCCCUGAUACA